rnacentral:RNase_P_RNA from 1 species
UCAGAGGGAAGCUCACCGUUGAGGUCACAUGCAGGGUGCUUGUCACUCACUAUUCAAUGCCUCAGGGAAGGUCUGAGACAGGAGCCAUUAGCUGCCCUUGCAGGGCAUCACCUGCUGUAGGUGAAUGAGUUAUCAGCUAUGUUGGGCCCUGGUUUGGGGGACACAUGUGACAGGAGAAACCAGAGGGGGGAUGCUCCCCUGGCAGAUGCACAUUCUCCCCAAGGGCUUUGGGACAGGCUCAUGGCUGGCACUCCUGAGCUCAAUGGGAUGAGGUGAGACCUCCCAGGCCUCAUAACCCAACUCAGACUACUCUCCCUCUGA